rnacentral:rRNA from 1 species
AUUGAACGCUGGCGGCAGGCCUAACACAUGCAAGUCGAACGGCAGCACAGAAGAGCUUGCUCUUUGGGUGGCGAGUGGCGGACGGGUGAGUAAUGUCUGGGAAACUGCCCGAUGGCGGGGGAUAACUACUGGAAACGGUAGCUAAUACCGCAUAACGUCGCAAGACCAAAGUGGGGGACCUUCGGGCCUCACACCAUCGGAUGUGCCCAGAGGGGAUUAGCGAGUAGUUGGGGUAAUGCUCACCUAGGCGACGAUCCCUAGCGGGUCUGAGAGGAUGACCAGCCACACUGGAACUGGGACACGGUCCAGACUCCUACGGGAGGCAGCAGUGGGGAAUAUUGCACAGUGGGCGCAAGCCUGAUGCAGCCAUGCCGCGUGUAUGAAGAAGGCCUUCGGGUUGUAAAGUACUUUCAGCGGGGAGGAAGGCGGUGAGGUUAAUAACCUUGCCGAUUGACGUUACCCGCAGAAGAAGCACCGGCUAACUCCGUGCCAGCCGCCGCAGUAA